rnacentral:tRNA from 1 species
AGCUCAGCGGUAGAGCGCUUGCCUAGCAAGCAAGGCCCUGGGUUCGGUCCCCAG